GCUUAGAAACUGUUAGCUCACUUGGUAGAGCAUGAGACUCUUAAUCUCAGGGUUGUGGGUUUGAGCCCCACAUUGGGUA